rnacentral:rRNA from 1 species
AUUGAACGCUGGCGGCAUGCCUUACACAUGCAAGUCGAACGGCAGCGGGGGAGAAGCUUGCUUUUCCUGCCGGCGAGUGGCGAACGGGUGAGUAAUACAUCGGAACGUGCCCUGUAGUGGGGGGUAACUAGUCGAAAGAUUAGCUAAUACCGCAUACGACCUGAGGGUGAAAGUGGGGGACCGCAAGGCCUCAUGCUAUAGGAGCGGCCGAUGUCUGAUUAGCUAGUUGGUGGGGUAAAGGCCUACCAAGGCGACGAUCAGUAGCUGGUCUGAGAGGACGAUCAGCCACACUGGGACUGAGACACGGCCCAGACUCCUACGGGAGGCAGCAGUGGGGAAUUUUGGACAAUGGGCGAAAGCCUGAUCCAGCAAUGCCGCGUGUGUGAAGAAGGCCUUCGGGUUGUAAAGCACUUUUGUCCGGAAAGAAAUGGCUCUGGUUAAUGCCUGGGGUCGAUGACGGUACCGGAAGAAUAAGGACCGGCUAACUACGUGCCAGCAGCCGCUGUAA